UGGUUUACAAAUAGCCUGACAAAGAAACCGCUGAAGUGAUCUGUCAUUAUUCUAAUUUGGUUCCGCAGCAAGUGUCUGACUAAAACUGAGCAACUUGUCAGUUCAUUUUUGUUUUUCAGAGCGCAAUAAAAGCACAUCGUAGACGCGGCAUGAGGAUGUGUUAGUCAUGUGCUGCGGGAGAAGCGGAGUAACAGCUGGAAAUCAGUU